rnacentral:lncRNA from 1 species
UCAAGAAUAUGAUAAAGAGCAUAUUUAUUGAUCAAAAUAGCGUAUCUUUCUUAGUUUUUCUUCCCCCAAAAUACAACUAAAAUUGAAAAUGUGAUGCCAGUCCACGAGAUUGGCAUUUGCUCCAUAACUUGCCGCCGUAUCUAAGCAAUGUCACAUUUCCUUCUUCAAGGGGAUGAGCAACAAGUGCUAAUACCACCCAUAAAGGUCGUAUUGAAUGACAUGAUAUUAGUACAAGUCUGCGAUAUAUGAAUUUGAAUAGAUAACUACGCUGUAGUCGCGAAAGAGUCACUGUAUCCAUCACACUAGAGCCAUGCGCGCGUGAAAUGGUUACAGCACAAAGGUCCAUACCAAGACAACUAAAUCCAGGCGUGCUUUAUAUGCAUAUUUCGAGUAAACUUUAGACAUUGUGUUUUGUACUCUUCAAUGGUCUGCGACGAGAUUCUGACGAGGUGGUCGAUAGCAUGCAUGCCAAGACAGCAUGCGAGAGAGUUCUCAAAGGCCGAGAAGCUUGUUUGAAUUCCAAAACUGUUGUUGAUCCUCGAUGAUUGCAAACUUGACUGAAUACCGAGCUUCAGCUGUGAAAAGAAACAGCAGCAUAUGCAUCUUCCAUCCAGCAUGAAUAUCGAGAUUCCUCGUUGGUUGCAACAGGAAUUAAAGCAGUACAGAUUUCCAUGGAAUAUAUUUAAAUCUGUCCAAAGGAGAUGCUUGCAUUAAAUAAUGUUGAUUGAAGAUUCCCAAGCAUGAAAGCAUGUGACCAAC